rnacentral:rRNA from 1 species
ACGGCUCAGUAACACGUCGGUAACCUACCCUCGGGAGGGGGAUAACCCCGGGAAACUGGGGCUAAUUCCCCAUAGGCCUGAGGUACUGGAAGGUCCUCAGGCCGAAAGGGACUUAUGUCCGCCCGAGGAUGGGCCGGCGGCCGAUUAGGUAGUUGGUGGGGUAAUGGCCCACCAAGCCGAAGAUCGGUACGGGCUGUGAGAGCAGGAGCCCGGAGAUGGACACUGAGACACGGGUCCAGGCCCUACGGGGCGCAGCAGGCGCGAAACCUCCGCAAUGCGGGAAACCGCGACGGGGGGACCCCGAGUGCCGUGGCAACGCCACGGCUUUUCCGGAGUGUAAAAAGCUCCGGGAAUAAGGGCUGGGCAAGGCCGGUGGCAGCCGCCGCGGUAAUACCGGCGGCCCGAGUGGUGGCCGCUAUUAUUGGGCCUAAAGCGUCCGUAGCCGGGCCCGUAAGUCCCUGGCGAAAUCCCACGGCUCAACCGUGGGGCUUGCUGGGGAUACUGCGGGUCUUGGGACCGGGAGAGGCGGGGGGUACCCCUGGGGUAGGGGUGAAAUCCUAUAAUCCCAGGGGGACCGCCAGUGGCGAAGGCGCCCCGCUGGAACGGGUCCGACGGUGAGGGACGAGGGCCAGGGGAGCAAACCGGAUUAGAUACCCGGGUAGUCCUGGCUGUAAAGGAUGCGGGCUAGGUGUCGGGUGAGCCUCGAGCUCGCCCGGUGCCGUAGGGAAGCCGUUAAGCCCGCCGCCUGGGGAGUACGGCCGCAAGGCUGAAACUUAAAGGGAAUUGGCGGGGGAG